rnacentral:rRNA from 1 species
CAGCCGCCGCGGUAAUACGUAGGGUGCAAGCGUUAAUCGGAAUUACUGGGCGUAAAGCGUGCGCAGGCGGUUCGUUAAGACAGAUGUGAAAGCCCCGGGCUCAACCUGGGAAUGGCAAUGGAUACUGGCGAGCUAGAGUGUGUCAGAGGAUGGUGGAAUUCCCGGUGUGGCGGUGAAAUGCGUAGAGAUCGGGAGGAACAUCAGUGGCGAAGGCGGCCAUCUGGGACAACACUGACGCUGAGGCACGAAAGCGUGGGGAGCAAACAGGAUUAGAUACCCGGGUAGUCCCUGUCUCUUAUAC